UGCCCUAGUAACGGCGAGUGAAGCGGCAACAGCUCAAAUUUGAAAUCUGGCUCUUUUAGAGUCCGAGUUGUAAUUUGCAGAGGGCGCUUUGGCUUUGGCAGCGGUCCAAGUUCCUUGGAACAGGACGUCACAGAGGGUGAGAAUCCCGUACGUGGUCGCUAGCUAUUGCCGUGUAAAGCCCCUUCGACGAGUCGAGUUGUUUGGGAAUGCAGCUCUAAAUGGGAGGUAAAUUUCUUCUAAAGCUAAAUAUUGGCCAGAGACCGAUAGCGCACAAGUAGAGUGAUCGAAAGAUGAAAAGCACUUUGGAAAGAGAGUCAAACAGCACGUGAAAUUGUUGAAAGGGAAGCGCUUGCAGCCAGACUUGCUUGCAGUUGCUCAUCCGGGCUUUUGCCCGGUGCACUCUUCUGCAGGCAGGCCAGCAUCAGUUUGGGCGGUGGGAUAAAGGUCUCUGACACGUUCCUUCCUUCGGGUUGGCCAUAUAGGGGAGACGUCAUACCACCAGCCUGGACUGAGGUCCGCGCAUCUGCUAGGAUGCUGGCGUAAUGGCUGUAAGCGGCCCGUCUUGAAACACGGACCAAGGAGUCUAACAUCUAUGCGAGUGUUUGGGUGUCAAGCCCGAGCGCGUAAUGAAAGUGAAC
rnacentral:rRNA from 1 species